rnacentral:rRNA from 1 species
CCUGCUCAAUGAACUUUAAAUAGCCGCUUUUUUAGUGCUAAGGUAGCAUAAUCACUUGUCUUUUAAUUUAAGAAUAGAAUGAAAGGAUAAACGAGUUUAAGCCUUUAUUUAAUUUAAUAUACUAAACUUAUUUAAAAGUAAAAAAGCUUUUACAACUAGAUUAGACGACAAGACCCUUUAGAACUUAACUUUAAGUUCAGCUGGGGUGGCUUAUAUAAUCUUAUUAAAACUUAUUUACAACAUACAAACACCCAACACAAGAAUUCAACAAGUUACCUAAGGGAUAACAGUAUAAUAUUACUUUUAAGCACAUAUAUAAAGUAUUGAUUAUAACCUCGAUGUUGAAUUACUCCCCUAUUAAAAGAAAAUUUUUAAAAAGUAAGUCUGUUCGACUUUUAAUAAAGUACAU